rnacentral:rRNA from 1 species
UACGGGGGGGGGCAAGCGUUGUUCGGAAUUACUGGGCGUAAAGGGCUCGUAGGCGGCCAACUAAGUCGAACGUGAAAUCCCCGGGCUCAACCCGGGAACUGCGUCCGAUACUGGCAGGCUUGAAUCCGGGAGAGGGAUGCGGAAUUCCAGGUGUAGCGGUGAAAUUCGUAGAUAUCGGAAGGAACGCCGGUGGCGAAAGCGACGCGCUGGACCUCUUCUGACGCUGAGGCGCGAAAGCCAGGGGAGCAAACGGG